GUGCUCACGUCAGAAGCACGUAUACUAACAUAGAACGAUACAGAGAUUAGCGUGUUCCCUGAGCAAGGAUGACACUCAACUUUGAGAAGCAUCCCAUAUUUUU